UACGAAGGGGGCUAGCGUUGCUCGGAAUUACCGGGCGUAAAGCGCACGUAGGCGGCUUUCUAAGUCGGGGGUGAAAUCCUGGAGCUCAACUCCAGAACUGCCUUCGAUACUGGAAAGCUCGAGUCCGGGAGAGGUGAGUGGAACUGCGAGUGUAGGGGUGAAAUUCGUAGAUAUUCGCAAGAACACCAGUGGCGAAGGCGGCUCACUGGCCCGGUACUGACGCUGAGGUGCGAAAGCGUGGGGAGCAAACAGG
rnacentral:rRNA from 1 species